CGUUCUCGAAGGAGCGAUCUGAGCGCACGGAGUUGGAAUAAAUUAAACUCUGGUGCACAAAAGCGCCCUAAGUCAUUCAGUCAGUCGUUUUUUCCAUUGUCCAAUCGAAUGAAUGGAGAGACGGGCCCACAGUUGCACUGACGGAAGUUUACAGUUGCUUGGAUUGUCCGGAGUCUGCAACAAACUUGCCCCGACUCAUCCUAAAAUACGCCUUAAUCCGACUAUCAUUAGGACGAAGCUACUGGACCAACUGGUAGGCUAAUACCAGUGUCUCCUCUUUCUGAGGGUCUCAUGUAGGCUACACACACGGAUCUCCCUUUCCCGGUCUCCUGCGUGUCUGUACACCUCUCACCCGCAGGCGCUCUGCGUUUGUCUCUUUUAUUAAAGCGGAUGGUUUUAGUGACAAAAGACACAGACCUUUUUCAGAAGUGGACUUCCGAAAUGGCUCCUCCCACUUCGCAACGGGGAUUCAAAAAGAAAAUGGCGCUGAUUCACCUGUGAGAGGAAGGACUAACCUCCCGGGACCAUGUCAAAACCUUAACUUGUGGUACAUUUUGCUUCCCAUGAGGGGCGAGUCACCGUCGACAGUCGGCAUGGAGCCGGCUAAACUACAGUUAAUAGCAGCUACGUUGAGGGUUAACGUUUAGUCCAGAGGGUUGCUUGACGAAGGCUGACCGCAAUGGACUGACCAUAAUGGGAAAAGGUUGACCCUCUGAGGAGCGAGGAAUGUGUUGAGAGCCCCCUGAAGAACUGCAGGGAGAGUUCGUAGGUCAGGAACAUGGUGGCGCUCAUCGGGAAGCCUCUGAUGGCAUUUACUGACGCUCCGCGGAAGAAAACCUGCACACAAGAACGCACAGUUUCAGUGAACUACAUUUUUAUCUUUUGUUAUUAAAAGAAACAACUCGGGCAUUAACAUCCGCUGGAAAUAUUUAAACCAGUAAAAAGGGCCUGUAAAAAAUAAAACAAUGAUAAUUAUAGCAAUAUAUUUUUACCCUAUAACAAUGUUGAUUUAACUCAUUUGAAUCACAGAUGAAUUAGCACUUAUUUUGGAAUGAGGAUAUUUAUUUUGUUUAAUUUUACUUGUGCACAUUUGUUUAGAAAAAGAUAUUAUUAAUUGUUUUUAAUGUUCUAUCUCUGUUUUGCAAGUGUUUAUCAUGCUCAUGUAUCAUGUGAAAAGUUUAAAACCAUAAUUAACCACCUGGUUUCUUCAGCUUUCACUCAGGAGCAAAAAUCUGCUUUUAAACUUUAAAAUGAUUUUACAUUGAUCAUGAAAAUUAUUGAUAUUGAAUGUUGUUUUUUUUAUAGUGAUAACACUUUUGCUCAGCCCUAGUCAGAACUGAUGAAAAAUGUACCUUUUGCACAGACAAGAGAUGCAACAAGAGAUAUGUCUGGUACUGUUUUGGAUCCAGUUCCAGUUUGGAAAAAUACCCAGAUUUGUUAAGAUCCGAUUCUAGAAAAUCACUUUUUAUCUCUCUUCUUAAUCAGAAAAUAUUCAGGUAACAUUAGCAAGCUUCAAAUAUUUUGCUAGCUCUUACGGUCACGUUCACCGGUUAAAACAAAUAUCAUGGAGGCGGAUUAUCAGAUGUUAAUGUUAUUCUGUAACAGCCAGGGCUGCAGUCAUUUCCAUGAGGUUAAAUUUGCUGAUGAAUCCAGAAAAGAAACAGAACUCUGCAACGCGGCUCUGCAACUGUGCUAUUUUGUAUUUCAAUAAGACCGCAUCAAAUGCAGGUAGCUUGUGAAAAAUGUCAAAUUAAGAGGACUACAGCUGUUUAAUGUGUCAGAUACGUUUCAUCAAUAUUUUAUGCUGUUAAUCAUAUUUUAUCUACAGGUUGUGAACAUUAUGUUACCACUAAAAACUAGUAAAUGAGUAUUUGUGGCGUCUUAUUCUUGGGGGUUUAACUUAUUUAUAACUUUAGUUGAUUGUGAAUCAGUUGUCAUUUUUAUAAAUCUUGUUUUCAACAGUGAUAUUGUUUUACUUUUGCUAAUGUUCAUUUUAGUUUUGUUUGCUCACUUUUUGAAUUUCACAAAUACCAAAUAAAAUGAAAUGAUAAAAUGCUUAUGUAUUAAUUUCUCCAUGGCUACAAUAAACAAGAGCCUUACACAGGUCUCACUAAAAAAAACAAA